rnacentral:rRNA from 1 species
UCAGGAUGAACGCUGGCGGCGUGCCUAACACAUGCAAGUCGAACGGAGUAAUAAGCGGAAGUUUCGGAUGGAAGCAUAGUACUUAGUGGCGGACGGGUGAGUAACGCGUGGGCAACCUGCCCUGUACCGGGGGAUAACACUUAGAAAUAGGUGCUAAUACCGCAUAAGCGCACAGCUUCGCAUGAAGGUGUGUGAAAAACUCCGGUGGUACAGGAUGGACCCGCGUCUGAUUAGCUAGUUGGUGGGGUAGAGGCCUACCAAGGCGACGAUCAGUAGCCGGCCUGAGAGGGUGACCGGCCACAUUGGGACUGAGACACGGCCCAAACUCCUACGGGAGGCAGCAGUGGGGAAUAUUGCACAAUGGGGGAAACCCUGAUGCAGCGACGCCGCGUGAGUGAAGAAGUAUUUCGGUAUGUAAAGCUCUAUCAGCAGGGAAGAAAAUGACGGUACCUGACUAAGAAGCCCCGGCUAACUACGUGCCAGCCGCCGC